rnacentral:rRNA from 1 species
AAAAUUAAGAAGGAGGAAGUACGGGGAAUUGGCCCUAGUAGCGGCGAGUGAAGCGGCAUCAGCUCAAAUUUGAAAUCUGGCUCUUUCAGGGUCCGAGUUGUAAUUUGCAGAGGGCGCUUUGGCGUUGGCAGCGGUCCAAGUUCCUUGGAACAGGACGUCACAGAGGGUGAGAAUCCCGUACGUGGUCGCUGGCCUUCGCCGUGUAAAGCCCCUUCGACGAGUCGAGUUGUUUGGGAAUGCAGCUCUAAAUGGGAGGUAAAUUUCUUCUAAAGCUAAAUACUGGCCAGAGACCGAUAGCGCACAAGUAGAGUGAUCGAAAGAUGAAAAGCACUUUGGAAAGAGAGUCAAAUAGCACGUGAAAUUGUUGAAAGGGAAGCGCUUGCAGCCAGACUUGCCUGUAGUUGCUCAUCCGGGCUUUUGCCCGGUGCACUCUUCUGCGGGCAGGCCAGCAUCAGUUUGGACGGUUGGAUAAAGGCCUCUGUCAUGUACCUCCUUUCGGGGAGGCCUUAUAGGGGAGGCGUCAUGCAACCAGUCUGGACUGAGGUCCGCGCAUCUGCUAGGAUGCUGGCGUAAUGGCUGUAAGCGGCCCGUCUUGAAACACGGACCAAGGAGUCUAACAUCUAUGCGAGUGUUUGGGUGUCAAGCCCGAGCGCGUAAUGAAAGUGAACGGAGGUGGGAUCCCUUUAGGGUGCACCAUCGACCGAUCCUGAUGUCUUCGGAUGGAUUUGAGUAAGAGCAUGGCUGUUGGGACCCGAAAGAUGGUGAACUAUGCUUGAAUAGGGUGAAGCCAGAGGAAACUCUGGUGGAGGCUCGCAGCGGUUCUGACGUGCAAAUCGAUCGUCAAAUUUGGGCAUAGGGGCGAAAGACUAAUCGAACUAUCUAGUAGCUGGUUCCUGCCGAUUUCCCCCCUCCAGGGACAAAC